rfam:Syphacia muris strain Valencia genome assembly, scaffold: SMTV_scaffold0000110
UUCAGUUACGGUGAUUUGACACCAACGAGUGUAUUUGGAAAAAUGGUUGGAGCAGCUUGUUCGCUAAUCGGUGUAUUAACACUAGCGCUACCCGUUCCGAUAAUUGUAAGUUAU